rnacentral:rRNA from 1 species
CCUACGGGAGGCAGCAGUGGGGAAUUUUGGACAAUGGGCGAAAGCCUGAUCCAGCAAUGCCGCGUGAGUGAAGAAGGCCUUCGGGUUGUAAAGCUCUUUUGUCAGGGAAGAAACGGUGUGGGCUAAUAUCCUGCACUAAUGACGGUACCUGAAGAAUAAGCACCGGCUAACUACGUGCCAGCAGCCGCGGUAAUACGUAGGGUGCAAGCGUUAAUCGGAAUUACUGGGCGUAAAGCGUGCGCAGGCGGUUUUGUAAGUCUGUCGUGAAAUCCCCGGGCUCAACCUGGGAAUUGCGAUGGAGACUGCAAGGCUAGAAUCUGGCAGAGGGGGGUAGAAUUCCACGUGUAGCAGUGAAAUGCGUAGAGAUGUGGAGGAACACCGAUGGCGAAGGCAGCCCCCUGGGUCAAGAUUGACGCUCAUGCACGAAAGCGUGGGGAGCAAACAGGAUUAGAUACCCUGGUAGUCCACGCCCUAAACGAUGUCUACUAGUUGUCGGGUUUUAAUUAACUUGGUAACGCAGCUAACGCGUGAAGUAGACCGCCUGGGGAGUACGGUCGCAAGAUUAAAACUCAAAUGAAUUGACGG